rnacentral:rRNA from 1 species
UGGCGGCACUAGCGCGGUGGUCCCACCUGACCCCAUGCCGAACUCAGAAGUGAAACGCCGUAGCGCCGAUGGUAGUGUGGGGUCUCCCCAUGUGAGUC